ACUGUUCUGAUUUACGACAUUACGAGAGCACUUUAAAGUAGCAAAUGCGGCUUCUGUUGCGGAUAUAACGUAGACAAACAGGUGAUAAAUCGAAAAAAAACCCAAAAAACAAAACAAAAAACCGUGCCACAGCUUCAGUGCACCUUGACGUUGAUUCUCCACGUUUCUGACUCCACUGAAGAUGGGGACGCUGUUAUCCUGGAAGACACCGCUCCCUUCAGGAAAGAAAUGUUUCAUCGCAGGAUAAAGAUAUUUCCUUGAUCGCCCAUCUAGAUGGCUCCAGCUGUGCUCAGGGUGCAGACAUCAGCACAUAUGCGCAGCUGUAAUGAACUAAACGUUCAUUCUGGAGCAACACCAUUCAGUGUGAUGAUAUUCCCACCUACAGACCACAUGUGUUUCAUCUGCUAAUUUAUUCCACUCCACUCCUCAUGAUUGCUUUUGGAAACCUCAUCAGCAGCUGAAAGGAAGAUGAAAAACAGAUCAUCAUAACCAGCAAUGAUAAACAAGGCCAGCCACAUCAGAAGGACAGUGUCUGAGCUCCAUUCACUGGUUAAAGGGAUGAUGUGAGAUACAUUGUUGUCUCGUCCUUUAUGGGAUCUCACUGAUCCAGAUGUGACUAGAUGAAUGACGAGCACUUGUUUGUUGUGAUGUGCUCAACAUUAAAUAAAAUUAUUUUAU